AUUAAUUUCAAUUUUAUGCUAAGGGACACCGGGCGUUGUUUUGAAUCUGUGAAGGGCAGUGGCAGGGCAUUUUGUGCAGGUGGAGACAUUGUUUCUCUUUAUCACUUGAUAAACCAAGGCAAGUUGGAAGACUGUAAGGAAUUUUUCCGGACAAUAUAUAGUUUCAUAUAUGAACUAGGUACAUAUUUGAAGCCGCAUGUGGCUAUUUUGGAUGGCAUUACCAUGGGUGGUGGUGCUGGAGUUUCAAUCCCUGGUACAUUCCGAGUUGCAACUAAUAAAACUGCUUUUGCCACCCCUGAAACUCUUAUUGGAUUCCACCCUGAUGCUGGUGCAUCCUUCUUUCUCUCUCAUCUGCCUGGUCACCUAGGGGAAUACUUAGCUUUAAGUGGAGAAAAACUCAAUGGCGCAGAAAUGAUUGCUUGUGGCCUAGCUACACACUAUUCAUAUAGUGAACUUGGGAAACUGUUCACAGAUGAUCCUUCUGUCAUUGAAGCAACUUUAGAAAAAUAUGGUGACCUUGUCCAUCCAGAUAAGAUGAGUGUACUUCACAGGAUUGAAACUGUUGAUAAAUGUUUCAG
rnacentral:misc_RNA from 1 species